UCGGUGAAAACAUUUGACUUCACACAGACCAACUCAGAAUUAACGUUAGCCAGCGGUUGAAACGGUUUUGUGAUGUGACAACCAUGCUACUGACCUUGUUCGGCGUCUUACCUCUACUCGAAGAUUAAGCAGACAACGACGAACGACCUUAUAUAUCGACCGAAGAAAGAGACAAACUCACAAAUGGCACAAUUCAGAUAACUUUGAACGGCCGCAAAUGACGUAUCAACCAAGUAAAAAAUGAUAACCCCACAACUGACAGAUACCUGAUAAAAGAUCUGGUCAAGAUGCGUUACGCUACGCCAUGGGUAUGCCAAUGGAAUGCGAAAGAAAUAGUUCGCAUUGCACGACACUCGAAGCGAAGUACAAAGUAGGCAAAGUGGACAUCAAACCAACAGCCGAUUUGACAGCGAAACAAGCGAUCGUCCAUCGUCCAUAUUAAACACGUUGAGAGGUUUUGUAUAAAGGUCAUUUAUUGUUAAGAUUUAAAGUAUUUCAAUUACCAAUGAACUAAUGCGCAAGUUGAUAAUCUAAUGUACUAUAGUAUAUAGAUUAACGUGAAAAGAGUAUAUUCAUCACGCCAAUUGAAAAAAUAUUAUUUACACUUUUUCGUUAAAAUACAUAGAGUCAAAACAUAAGUCACCAAUGUGUACGCUAAAGUAUAAACAUUGUUUGAUAUUAUUCAACAUGUUUGACAUCUUCUUAUCUCAAGUUUUCAAGUAGCUACUUCACUUAUAGAUUGUUUCAUUUGCUUUUGUCAAUAUAUCACGAUAACGAUGAUUCCAAAAAUGUGUUGCCUAUAUUCAUGUAUAACUCAAUUUUGAAUACGUAUUUAUGAGAUGCUAUAGUUUUGAAACGUGAACGAAUGCUAACGUGUGUCAUAAGCAAAACCUGCGACGGUAGUCAUUAAGUAUUUCAUUUGUCAUAAUAUAGUUUUGCUUGAUAUCUGGUAAUGAUCUUUGAAACACUGUGCAUUUAUCUUCACUUAGUUAACACAAAUAAUAUUGACGAGAGUAUUUAUAUACUUUGAAACAGACGAAGGGAACCUGUAAGUCCAUAUAGGACAAAUUUGUAUCUCUUAACAUUUAUCUUAUUUUUUAAGCCAUCAACGGUGUUAUUUUCCUGGCAGCUUAAAACUCUACUUUGUAUAUUGUUUCAUAUUCUUCACACUUGUCAGCUAUUUGUUUGAUAUUGAUUACA